UCCGAAUUAGUAUAUCGGCUAGUAUGACCGCCUCUCAUGGAGCGCGCGGUAGAGACGGGUUCGAUUCCCGUAUUCGGAA
rnacentral:tRNA from 1 species